UAUUAAAAAGAAAACACACAUUAUUGGAAGCCAUUUCUACUAAUAUGUUACAUUUUAACUUAUGAUUUGAUUUGGAUACUGUCAUGAGAGGAGCUGUGAGUGCUGGGGAAGAUAAUGAUGACAAUUGAUAACCUUAAAGAAGCUCAGUACAUCCGAAUUGAAAGAGUAGAGGAAGCCUUCAGAGCCAUUGACUGAGAGAUUACUAUCGGGAAGGUUCCAGAGACAAUGCUUACAAAGACUUAGCCUGGAAGCACGGGAACAUACACUUGUCAACACCUUGCAUUUAUUCUGAAGUUAUGGAAGCUUUGAAACUUCAACCAGGAUUAUCUUUUCUUAACCUGGAAAGUGGAACCAGAUAUUUAAGUACAAUGGUAGCUUAAUUUUAGGUCUCUUUGGAAUAAAUCAUGGGAUUGAACUUCAUUCAGAUGUAGUGGAGUAUGCCAAGGAAAAACUGGAGAGCUUCAUCAAAAAUAGUGAUAGCUUUGAUAAAUGUGAAUUCUGUGAACCCGCAUUUGUGGUGGGUUUUUGCCUUCAGAUAUUCUGACAGUCAUCAGUACGAUGGAAUUUACUGUGGAGCUGGAGUCCAGAAAGACCAUGAAAACUACAUGAAGAUCUUACUCAGAGUUGGGGCCAUAUCGGUCAUGCCUGUAGAGGAUCAGUUGACACAGAUUGUAUGGAUUGGACAAAACACUUGGGAAAGUAAAAAUAUCCUUGCAGUUUCCUUUGCACUAGUACAAGCUAGUAAGAAUGAUAAUGGCACACCAGGCUCUGUGGGGCUCUCCCCACCCCCGGGUGCUGUCAGGAAUCUCCAAGACUUGGCUUGUAUUUACAUUCGAUGUACACUUAGAAACUUCAUAAAUGCAGGCCAAGGAGAUUUCACAAAGGGCUCCACCCAAGAGGAAAAGAAUGAGAGGUAAACAGAGAAUUAAUACUUACAUAUUUUUGGGUAAUCAGCUUAUCCCCCAGCCUCUUGACAGCAAAGAGAAUGAAAAAAUGGAAGAAGACAGCAAAGAAGAAGAGGAGAAAGAUCACAGCAAAGCCAUGAAGCGUGAGGAGCCACCUCAGAACCCACUGAGGGAAAAGAUAAUGAAGCGGCCACUCCUGGCAGUCUUUAAAGGCUUACUUGACAUAUUUUCAGGAUAAAUAA